CUUGCGUAUUCGUGAACUACCUAAAUUAACAAGUGUCAAGCAAUUAGAAUUGAGACUUGUAGGAUAUGGAGAUGCAAGUCUACUUCCGUUGACUCUCCUGAUUGAGGCAUGUCCCUACUUGCGGAGUUUAGUGUUUGAGUUGAAGGACCUACUAGAGACGCUAUGCAGGGAGAGAGAAUUGAUAAGAGUUGUUAGACCUCCCCAUCGAUACUUAAAGGCGAUUGAAUUUUAUAAUUAUCGUGGUCGACCUUGUGAUCACGAACUAGUGAAUUACCUUGUCGAAAAUGCCAUUGCUCUGGAGAAGUUAGUGGUGAAUCCUUGUGAUGAAGAAUAUUUUUUCUCAAAUGGGAUGGAAAGCGUGAAAGAACCUAAAGAACGUGCUCUGCAACAGCUCAAGGGAAACUUACCUUCUGGAAUUGAGUUGGUGAUUAGUUAGUGAAACUAGAGCAUCAUUCGUGUGGCAUCUACAGAACUAUUAUGGAUGGCUUUGAUCUGCAACAUAAUUCUCUUCCCCUCCUUACAGUUAUUUUUCGACUACGGAUAUAUGUUUUGUUUCUUAAUUAUUUGUUGGUUCUGAUUUUUUAGUAGGAUUAAUAAGUUAUGUAAUGGCUCUUUUGCGUUUUUAC